GACGAACGCUGGCGGCGUGCCUAAUACAUGCAAGUCGAACGCAACUUUCCUACCGAGUGCUUGCACUCACCGGGAAAGUUGAGUGGCGAACGGGUGAGUAACACGUGGGUGACCUGCCCAUCAGCGGGGGACAACACUUGGAAACAGGUGCUAAUACCGCAUAAAACUUCCGGCUGCAUGGCCGGAAGGUGAAAGGCGCUUUACAGCACCACUGAUGGAUGGACCCGCGGUGCAUUAGCUAGUUGGUGAGGUAACGGCCCACCAAGGCGACGAUGCAUAGCCGACCUGAGAGGGUGAUCGGCCACAUUGGGACUGAGACACGGCCCAAACUCCUACGGGAGGCAGCAGUAGGGAAUCUUCGGCAAUGGACGGAAGUCUGACCGAGCAACGCCGCGUGAGUGAAGAAGGUUCUCGGAUCGUAAAACUCUGUUGUCAGAGAAGAACGGGAGGAAGAGGAAAUGCUUCCUCCGUGACGGUAUCUGACCAGAAAGCCACGGCUAACUACGUGCCAGCCGCCGCCGUAAAAC
rnacentral:rRNA from 1 species